rnacentral:tRNA from 1 species
GGAUCCGUGUCUGAAUAAAAGUGCCGCUUUGAUAGAGCGAACCAUGGGGGUUAAAGUCCCCCCGAAUCCU